rnacentral:rRNA from 1 species
GAUGAACGUUGGCGGCGUGCCUAAUACAUGCAAGUCGAACGGAGAUUGUAGCAAUACGGUCUCAGUGGCGAACGGGUGAGUAACGCGUUGGUGACCUGCCCCGAAGUGUGGAAUAACAGAUCGAAAGAGCUGCUAAUACCGCAUAAUAUCCAGAAGAUUAGACGCUUUUGGAUUAAAGGAUUUAUUCGCUUCGGGAGGGGCCUGCGUCCCAUCAGCUAGUUGGUAAGGUAAUGGCUUACCAAGGCUAUGACGGUUAGGGGACCUGAGAGGGUGGCCCCCCACAAUGGAACUGAAACACGGUCCAUACACCUACGGGUGGCAGCAGUAGGGAAUAUUGGUAAUGCGCGAAAGCGUGAACCAGCAACGCCGCGUGUGCGAUGAAGGCCUUCGGGUUGUAAAGCACUUUUCGGGAGGAAGAGGAAGGACUGUACUCCCAGAAUAAGCCUCGGCUAACUACGUGCCAGCAGCCGCGGUAAGAUCACGUGUA